rnacentral:tRNA from 1 species
GUCCAGGUGGCGGAAUGGUAGACGCGCUAGCUUGAGGUGCUAGUGCCCAAUUAUACGGGCGUGAGGGUUCAAGUCCCUUUCUGGACA